CGCUGCCGCCGCCGAAUCAGUCCAGUUUGGAACGUGAGUCGCAACGGUCGGAUUUUCGGGAAAACCUCCGGUUGUUUUGCGUGUGUUUUAUGUCGUGAGAAGAUUUUUAUUUGUCGGUGUAUGUGUGCGUGUUUAUGUCCGGUAUUAAGGUGCACGGUCGUCGUUCUCCCCAGGCUUUGACUUGUGCCGUUCUGUUACUUCUAGGGAGGGAGCCUCGCUGCGACCCCUUCGAGUCCGCCGUCCUUCGGUGUCCUCAAUCGCGCGCGUGAGACGACGUCUUCUGACGGGAAGAAGACGACGACGAGGUCAAAGGGUGGGACUUGGGAGCAGUGCGCGUCCAGAGAGAGUGGAACAAGAAGAGACUUGUGGGAAGUGCUUUUUCAGUUUGGGAAGCAGAGUGCUGGCUGAUGCGAUCACGGAACCAGCCGGAGAGAGCGUGAAGCUGUUUUGACGUUGUGUAUGUGCAUUUGCUAAACCAUGGUAUCUUAUGUUUACCCCAUUCUAUUCCGUGCCGUUUGAUGAACAUUUGACACAAUCUCCGCAGCUAUUUACGAUAAUCUUUCGCUUCUGUGUGCAUUUGUGACGAAGAGUGUCUGUUUUGUGACCAGGCUUUUGAUUCGAGACAUCGUGUCGGUUUUGCCUGUGCAAGAAACGCAUCACCGAUCUUUUGAGAGUGCCGAGGAACAGAAGAUUCUUUUGAAGCUUGAAUAACAUGCGUUUUCCGGCAGUGAUGGGCAGCGUUUGACAGAUGCUGCAUAUGAGGUUUGCACCGAGUACAGCAAAGGACUCAUCCAUCAAAGUGAAAAUCGAUCAGCUGACAUUGCGUACAGCAUACAUCCAUAAUAUAGUGCGUAGAAGUGAGAAGUGUGUGAGAGCAAACGGGCGGUGCGUGUAAUUUAUAUCGUGAAUUCGGAAGCGGAGCGAAACCUGCCGGAACCAAUUAGUGUAUAGAAACUAUCGGGAAGUGAUUAGGUGUACCCCAGUUUGGACAAAAAGGGACUGAAAAUCGGUGGAACGAAAAACUGCGCCAUCCCAAGAAGCAAGACAAAACAAAAAGUUGACCCACUAUCUCGCGUGUUUCAUCGUUUUCGUUCGGGUCGCGGGUUCAGUGUACGCUGCGGAAGAAGAAACUAAGUAGCCCGGAAGUAAGGUGCCACAGAAGAAAGCUAGCGUCGUCAACUAAGGCACUUUAUUGUGUAUCAAACGGGCGUCUGGUAGAUACUGGAAGUUGGGUAGAUGUGGUGCCAUCCCGAGCAGAAGAAGAAAGCGAAAUUAUAAAUGAUAAUCAUUAUCACCGUUGAAGUGUGAAAAAUCGCGGAAGUGAACAAAGGAAAACAAAUUCAAAAAGUGUCAACAGCGACUAAUCUCCAUUGCAGCGAGCAGUCUACAGAGUGUGACAAACGGUGCGUGAGAAGGAGGCGCGGUUUUUGAGUGCCAUGCACGAUUGUUUCGUGAUUUCAGACAACUGAUCAUUUGGUGCAAGUAGGCGUAGGAAGAGCGUGUUUAAUAGUGUUGUUAUUGUUGUUCGUUGCCAUCUUAGAAGGCGUUGUCGUCGAUUUGUGAAGCUUAAUACGAAAGUAGGCGAGGACAAGGAGGGGAAGGAAGGCGAUAAAGCCGAUAGCCAUGUGUCUGUGACGAUUUUCCAUCCAAGUGAAACUUUAAGCUCAACGGUGUGAUUUUUGUAGGUGGAGGUGAAGUGUGGGUGAAGCAGUAAACUUGAGUGUGGCGAAUGAUUAACGUCGAUUGUCGUGCCACGGUUGUUCUUCGACUGCGCACCGGUUUUUGGCAACGGUCGGUGGCCUUUGCCGACAAAUCUGUCUGAACC